rnacentral:lncRNA from 1 species
CUAGAUCCAUCUUGAGAGCACGGUGUGUUCAGACCUGCCUUGCAGACGCAGCUGUGGUUCUUCCGUCAUGACCUUAACGAGGAAAGAGAACAAGUCCUGACUGAGUUCCCUAGUUCCCUUUCAGAUUGUGUGGGCCCUCGAGCUGUUCUCUUCAGAACCAGGGCUGAGUAUGUCUAAGAAUGUUUGGGAAGAUGAUUUAAAGCAGGUGCCCUCAAUCAGGUCAAAUGGAUCAUACAAUCUGCAAUAUGGUUGAGUGAUAGGCCUCCAAAGGAAGCAACUGGACAUCGGCCAGCUGAAGAGGUCAGCCAGAGGAUCCUACUAUGGUCGUUAAGAAUUGUGGACUUUUCUUUUUGCACAUGCACCACAGAAAAACCAAGGUGCUCCAAUGCUGUCAGUAAAAGCAAGCCCAGGAUAGGGAGAUGUUGUCACUUUUGGGAGUGUGAACUGAAGACAUCCAUAUUCACAUCUAGUUCGGCUCACUUGUCAUCUGCAUCUCUGGCACCAAGUUCUUUUCCCUCUGUGUGA